rnacentral:rRNA from 1 species
CAGUCGUACGCUUCUUUUUCCCCGGAGCUUGCUCCACCGGAAAAAGAAGAGUGGCGAACGGGUGAGUAACACGUGGGUAACCUGCCCAUCAGAAGGGGAUAACACUUGGAAACAGGUGCUAAUACCGUAUAACAAUCGAAACCGCAUGGUUUUGAUUUGAAAGGCGCUUUCGGGUGUCGCUGAUGGAUGGACCCGCGGUGCAUUAGCUAGUUGGUGAGGUAACGGCUCACCAAGGCCACGAUGCAUAGCCGACCUGAGAGGGUGAUCGGCCACAUUGGGACUGAGACACGGCCCAAACUCCUACGGGAGGCAGCAGUAGGGAAUCUUCGGCAAUGGACGAAAGUCUGACCGAGCAACGCCGCGUGAGUGAAGAAGGUUUUCGGAUCGUAAAACUCUGUUGUUAGAGAAGAACAAGGAUGAGAGUAACUGUUCAUCCCUUGACGGUAUCUAACCAGAAAGCCACGGCUAACUACGUGCCAGCAGCCGCGGUAAUACGUAGGUGGCAAGCGUUGUCCGGAUUUAUUGGGCGUAAAGCGAGCGCAGGCGGUUUCUUAAGUCUGAUGUGAAAGCCCCCGGCUCAACCGGGGAGGGUCAUUGGAAACUGGGAGACUUGAGUGCAGAAGAGGAGAGUGGAAUUCCAUGUGUAGCGGUGAAAUGCGUAGAUAUAUGGAGGAACACCAGUGGCGAAGGCGGCUCUCUGGUCUGUAACUGACGCUGAGGCUCGAAAGCGUGGGGAGCAAACAGGAUUAGAUACCCUGGUAGUCCACGCCGUAAACGAUGAGUGCUAAGUGUUGGAGGGUUUCCGCCCUUCAGUGCUGCAGCUAACGCAUUAAGCACUCCGCCUGGGGAGUACGACCGCAAGGUUGAAACUCAAAGGAAUUGACGGGGGCCCGCACAAGCGGUGGAGCAUGUGGUUUAAUUCGAAGCAACGCGAAGAACCUUACCAGGUCUUGACAUCCUUUGACCACUCUAGAGAUAGAGCUUCCCCUUCGGGGGCAAAGUGACAGGUGGUGCAUGGUUGUCGUCAGCUCGUGUCGUGAGAUGUUGGGUUAAGUCCCGCAACGAGCGCAACCCUUAUUGUUAGUUGCCAUCAUUUAGUUGGGCACUCUAGCAAGACUGCCGGUGACAAACCGGAGGAAGGUGGGGAUGACGUCAAAUCAUCAUGCCCCUUAUGACCUGGGCUACACACGUGCUACAAUGGGAAGUACAACGAGUCGCGAAGUCGCGAGGCUAAGCUAAUCUCUUAAAGCUUCUCUCAGUUCGGAUUGUAGGCUGCAACUCGCCUACAUGAAGCCGGAAUCGCUAGUAAUCGCGGAUCAGCACGCCGCGGUGAAUACGUUCCCGGGCCUUGUACACACCGCCCGUCACACCACGAGAGUUUUAACACCCGA